rnacentral:rRNA from 1 species
UGGGGAAUAUUGGACAAUGGAGGAAACUCUGAUCCAGCAAUUCUGUGUGUGUGAAGAAGGUUUUAGGACUGUAAAACACUUUUAGUUGGGAAGAAAAAAAUGACGGUACCUACAGAAGAAGCAACGGCUAAAUACGUGCCAGCAGCCGCGGUAAUACGUAUGUUGCGAGCGUUAUCCGGAAUUAUUGGGCUUAAAGGGCAUCUAGGCGGUAAGACAAGUUGAAGGUGAAAACCUGUGGCUCAACCAUAGGCUUGCCUACAAAACUGUUGAACUAGAGUACUGGAAAGGUGGGUGGAACUACACGAGUAGAGGUGAAAUUCGUAGAUAUGUGUAGGAAUGCCGAUGAUGAAGAUAACUCACUGGACAGAAACUGACGCUGAAGUGCGAAAGCUAGGGGAGCAAACAGG